GAAUGGAUAAAAUCGUAUGGCAUAAGGAAAAAUGGCAUAGACCAAGCUUAUCUUAAAACAUACAGUAUAUGUGAAAAGUAAAGUGCGUGACAUGUAAAUAUUAAAUCAUCAUAGCCAUACUGGUUAAAUAUGUAUCAAUCUUAACCCAUUAAGUGCCGUAUGUACAAGUGAAAAGUGGUCUGUUCCCACCUUGGAUGUUGUAUGUCCCAUUGCUAGGGGAAAGUCUGUUGUGUGAGCAGCGUGCUAUGAAAAAUGUAUGUGAAC